rnacentral:rRNA from 1 species
CGCGUAGGUGGUAGUGUAAGUCUGAGGUGGAAUCCUAUGGCUUAACCAUAGAACUGCCUUGGAUACUGUAUUACUUGAGUCAGUGAGGGGAGGGUAGAAUUCCUGGUGUAGCGGUGAAAUGCGUAGAUAUCAGGAGGAAGGCCUGUGGCGAAGGCGGCCCUCUGGUGCUGGACUGACACUGAGGCGCGAAAAGCGUGGGGAGCAAAACAGGAUUAGAUACCCUGGUAGUCCACGCCCUAAACGGUGGGCACUAGGUGUAGGGCUCGCAAGGGUUCUGUGCCGAAGGGAAACCAUUAAGUGCCCCGCCUGGGGAGUACGGCCACAAGGUUGAA